GGCGAACGGGUGAGUAACACGUGGGUAAUCUGCCCUCGGCACUGGGAUAGCCCGGGGAAACCCGGAUUAAUACCGGAUGGCCUUUCGAGUCCUCGGACUCGUCAGAAAAGGUGGCUUCGGCUUCCGGCUGAGGAUGAGCCCGCGGCGGAUUAGCUUGUUGGUGGGGUAACGGCCCACCAAGGCGACGAUCCGUAGCUGGUCUGAGAGGACGAUCAGCCACACUGGGACUGAGACACGGCCCAGACUCCUACGGGAGGCAGCAGUGGGGAAUCUUGCGCAAUGGGCGAAAGCCUGACGCAGCGACGCCGCGUGCGGGAAGAAGGCCUUCGGGUUGUAAAACCGCUUUCAGGAGGGACGAAAGCCACUCGGGUUAAUACCCCAGAGGGUGACGGUACCUCCAGAAGAAGCCCCGGUAACUACGUGCCAGCCGCCGCGG
rnacentral:rRNA from 1 species